CGAAAGCCUGACGGAGCAAUACCGCGUGAGGGAUGACGGCCUAUGGGUUGUAAACCUCUUUUUUCAGGGAGGAAUCAAUGACGUGUACCUGAAGAAUAAGCAUCGGCUAACUCCGUGCCAGCAGCCGCGGUAAGACGGAGGAUGCAAGUGUUAUCCGGAAUCACUGGGCGUAAAGCGUCUGUAGGUGGUCAAAUAAGUCAACUGUUAAAUCUUGAGGCUCAACCUCAAAAUCGCAGUCGAAACUAUUAGACUAGAGUAUAGUAGGGGUAAAGGGAAUUUCCAGUGGAGCGGUGAAAUGCGUAGAGAUUGGAAGGAACACCGAUGGCGAAGGCACUUUACUGGGCUAUUACUAACACUCAGAGACGAAAGCUAGGGURGC
rnacentral:rRNA from 1 species